AUUGAACGCUGGCGGCAGGCCUAACGCAUGCAAGUCGAGCGGAUGAAGGGAGCUUGCUCCUGGAUUCAGCGGCGGACGGGUGAGUAAUGCCUAGGAAUCUGCCUGGUAGUGGGGGAUAACGUCCGGAAACGGGCGCUAAUACCGCAUACGUCCUGAGGGAGAAAGUGGGGGAUCUUCGGACCUCACGCUAUCAGAUGAGCCUAGGUCGGAUUAGCUAGUUGGUGGGGUAAAGGCCUACCAAGGCGACGAUCCGUAACUGGUCUGAGAGGAUGAUCAGUCACACUGGAACUGAGACACGGUCCAGACUCCUACGGGAGGCAGCAGUGGGGAAUAUUGGACAAUGGGCGAAAGCCUGAUCCAGCCAUGCCGCGUGUGUGAAGAAGGUCUUCGGAUUGUAAGGCACUUUAAGUUGGGAGGAAGGGCAGUAAGUUAAUACCUUGCUGUUUUGACGUUACCAACAGAAUAAGCACCGGCUAACUUCGUG
rnacentral:rRNA from 1 species